UAACGCGUGAGGAACCUGCCUUUCAGUGGGGGACAACAGUUGGAAACGACUGCUAAUACCGCAUAAUGUUUCUGGACCGCAUGAUCUGGAAACCAAAGCUUUAUGUGCUGAAAGAUGGCCUCGCGUCUGAUUAGAUAGUUGGUGAGGUAACGGCCCACCAAGUCUACGAUCAGUAGCCGGACUGAGAGGUUGAACGGCCACAUUGGGACUGAGAUACGGCCCAG
rnacentral:rRNA from 1 species